rnacentral:rRNA from 1 species
GGUUAAGUUAAUAAGGGCGCACGGUGGAUGCCUUGGCACUAGGAGCCGAAGAAGGACGGCACUAACACCGAUAUGCCUCGGGGAGCUGUAAGUGAGCUGUGAUCCGGGGAUUUCCGAAUGGGGAAACCCACUGUUCGUAAUGGAGCAGUAUCCAUGUGUGAAUACAUAGCACAUGAGAAGGCAGACUCAGGGAACUGAAACAUCUAAGUACCUGAAGGAAGAGAAAGCAAAUGCGAUUCCCCAAGUAGCGGCGAGCGAAACGGGAUCAGCCCAAACCAGAAGGCUUGCCUUCUGGGGUUGUAGGACACUCUAUACGGAGUUACAAAGGAACGGAUUAAGCGAAGCGACCUGGAACGGUCCGCAAGAUAGGGUAAUAGCCCCGUAGCUGAAAGUUCGUUCCCUCCAGAGUGGAUCCUGAGUACGGCGGAACACGAGAAAUUCCGUCGGAAUCCGGGAGGACCAUCUCCCAAGGCUAAAUACUCCCUAGUGACCGAUAGUGAACCAGUACCGUGAGGGAAAGGUGAAAAGCACCCCGGAAGGGGAGUGAAAUAGAUCCUGAAACCGUGUGCCUACAAGUAGUUAGAGCCCGUUAAUGGGUGAUAGCGUGCCUUUUGU